rnacentral:tRNA from 1 species
AGAGGGGCGUGAUUCAGUGGUAGAGCAUCUGCUUGACAUGCAUGAAGUCCCAUGUUCAAUCCCUGGCCUCUCCA